CCUACGAGGGGCAGCAGUAGGGAAUAUUGCUCAAUGGGGGAAACCCUGAAGCAGCAACGCCGCGUGGAGGAUGAAGGUUUUAGGAUUGUAAACUCCUUUUGUGAGAGAAGAUAAUGACGGUAUCUCACGAAUAAGCACCGGCUAACUCCGUGCCAGCAGCCGCGGUCAUACGGAGGGUGCAAGCGUUACUUGGAAUCACUGGGCGUAAAGAGUGCGCAGGCGGGCUUGUAAGUCAGAUGUGAAAUCCUUUAGCUUAACUACAGAACUGCAUUUGAAACUAUGAGUAUAGAGUGUGGGAGAGGUAGGUGGAAUUCUUGGUGUAGGGGUAAAAUCCGUAGAUAUCAAGAGGAAUACUCAUUGCGAAGGCGACAUACUGGAACAUUACUGACGCUCAUGCACGAAAGCGUGGGGAGCAAACAGGAUUAGAUACCCUAGUAGUC
rnacentral:rRNA from 1 species